UUAAAUUUAUUAAUUUUAUUAUUUUAUUUUUUAUUUUUAAUUUAAGUUUUUUUAAUAUUUUUAUUUUUAGUAUUUAUUUGAAUUGAAUUUUUUAUUUAUAGUUUAUUUGUACUGUUAAGGGUUUAUUUUAAAUGUUUUUAAGUAGAUUUUUUAUUGUACCUUUUGUAUCAGGGUAAAUUUAAUAUAUUUUAUUUAUUUAUUGUUCUCGAAUUGAUUUGAUCUAAGUAAUAAUGUUAGUUAAUGUUUUAUAUUUAUUAAUUAUUUUUAUUUAGAUGUGAUAUGUUAUACGUAAAUCAAUAUAUCUAGUUUUUUAAUAAAUGAAUAUAAUUCAGCUAUUUUUAUUUAAUUUAAUUUUUGAUUUUUUUAUAUUUAUUAAUAGUAAUAUUUUGGGGGAUAAGCUCUUUAUUAUUAUUAUAAUUUUUUAUUUAUAUAUGUUAUAUAGGAUUUUAAUUUUCCAUUAUUUUUAGUAUAUUAUUAUUUAUCAUAUAUAUUUUUCUUUUUUAUUUAGUUUAAUUAAUUAUUAAAAUUAUUUAUUUAAUGUUUUUUUAUUUUUAAUAAUGAUUUAAUUAGUAUAUUAUUUUUAUUUAUUUUAUUAUUUUUAAUUAAUUUUUAGGAAUUCGGCAAAUGAUUUAUUCGCAUGUUUAUCAAAAACAUCUUUUCUUGAUUUUAUAUGAGAUUUGACCUGCCCAAUGAUUUAUUUAAUGGCCGCGGUAUUUUGACCGUGCAAAGGUAGCAUAAUCAUUAGUUUAUUAAUUGUGAACUUGUAUGAAUGGUUGGACGAGAUAAUUUCUGUCUUAAUUUUAUUUAUAUAAUUUAAAUUUUUAGUUAAAAUGCUUAAAUUUAUUUAUUGGACGAGAAGACCCUAUAGAUCUUUAUUUUUAUUAUUAUUAAUUGUUUUGGUUUAAUAUUUUUUAAUAUUUUUAUUUGUUUUGUUGGGGUGAUUUGGAGAUAUAUAUAACUCUUUAUUUUUUUUUUCAUUUAUUUAUGUGUAUUUGAACUUUAUUUUUGUUAUAAGAUUUAGAUACCUUAGGGAUAACAGCGUAAUUUUGCUUGAAAGUUCUUAUUAAUAGUGAAGUUUGCGACCUCGAUGUUGGAUUAAGAUUAAUAUUGGGUGUAGGUGCUCUAAUUAUUAGGUCUGUUCGACCUUUAAAAUCUUACAUGAUCUGAGUUCAAACCGGCGUGAGCCAGGUUGGUUUCUAUCCAUAAAAAUAUUAUUUAUAUUAGUACGAAAGGACCAUAUAUUUUAAAUAAUUUAUUUGGUAUU
rnacentral:rRNA from 1 species